rnacentral:tRNA from 1 species
UCGCGGAGGCGUGCCUGCGGUACGGGACGGGCGCGGUCGUCGACCUCGCGGGCCUGUGCGAGCGGGACGACGUCAGCGCGUUCGAGGCGCUCUUCAGCGAG